GGAUCAACAAGACACGGAAUGCCAUAUGUUCCAGAUUCUACUGGUAUGGCAUGUCAGUGGACAUUGAAAACUGGAUCUUGGAAUGUGAUGAGUGCCAAAAGGUAGGGAGGCCUUUGACAGCUGUACAGACACUGGAGUGUAUUAAGGUAUCUGCUGUGUGGGAGCUGGUUGGAAUAGAUUUGACUGGACCAUUGCCCAAAACCACUGAUGGCUACCAGUAUAUCCUUACAGCGACAGAUUACUUCUCUAAAUGGGUUGAAGCAUUUCCUUUGAAAGGAAAGUCUGCAACUGAAGUUGGAAGGCAUCUCUGUUCCAUGAUUUACAGACACGGAUGUCCGAAAAGAAUUCUGUCAGAUCAAGGAAGAGAAUUUGUCAAUGAACUCAACCGCAGCCUGUGUGAGAUGUUGCACAUUGAGAGAAGUGUAACUGCAGCCUACCAUCCACAAAC